GGCACCUUGACGGUACCUAACCAGAAAGCCACGGCUAACUACGUGCCAGCAGCCGCGGUAAUACGUAGGUGGCAAGCGUUAUCCGGAAUUAUUGGGCGUAAAGCGCGCGCAGGUGGUUUCUUAAGUCUGAUGUGAAAGCCCACGGCUCAACCGUGGAGGGUCAUUGGAAACUGGGAGACUUGAGUGCAGAAGAGGAAAGUGGAAUUCCAUGUGUAGCGGUGAAAUGCGUAGAGAUAUGGAGGAACACCAGUGGCGAAGGCGACUUUCUGGUCUGUAACUGACACUGAGGCGCGAAAGCGUGGGGAGCAAACAGGAUUAGAUACCCUGGUAGUCCACGCCGUAAACGAUGAGUGCUAAGUGUUAGAGGGUUUCCGCCCUUUAGUGCUGAAGUUAACGCAUUAAGCACUCCGCCUGGGGAGUACGGCCGCAAGGCUGAAACUCAAUGA
rnacentral:rRNA from 1 species